GGUAAUGUAUGACAUCAUGUAUAUGUUGGGACAUAAUUGAGCCAAUGCUUAUUAUUGAGCUAGUAGUCCAGUAGAAUCAAAGAUAUCUUAUUAAAGAUAUUGAGGACAAAAUAAUCAAGGAUAUCUGAUUAAAGAUAUUCACAAAUUUGUUUAUGAACAACCAGGUAAAUCUGUUCCAGGUAAUUCUGUUUAUAUUUUAUUGGGCUUGUGAUAACCUAUAAAUACAGGGCCAAGACUAAAAUCCAGGUAUGUUCCACUUACACCCCUAUUCAUGUUCCAUCUACACCACACUGAUACCUGGAAGGGUGUUACUCCCUUCACCACCAUACAUACUUCCUACACCUCCCCAAAUUUUUUUAAUUCCAACUCUAUCUUUUCCAUUUAAGAUUUUUUAAUUAAUUUGAAAAUCCUACACCCCCUCUGAAGCUCUCAAUAGCCACAUAAACGUUCACUGCUGCGACCGUGCAAGCACGCCUCAAUCAACCACAUGCUUCCUCUAUCGCCACCUCUUCUCUUCCCACUUCUUCACCCUACACCUCAAGACAUUGUUGCAAAUGGUGGGUUAUCUGUAUUAACAGGAAUUGAAGAUAAAAGCUUAUGGAAUAGCCAUUGCCCCGGGAGCCAUUAUGUCAUCAACUUCUCUGAUAAUAAGAAGCUGAAAUAAAAUUUUAUUUUGUUACUAUAAUUAAAUGCACUCUGACUAAAAAAGAGAUGACAUCUCAAAUUCUCAGCCUCAAUCAAACAACUUUAAAAGAAAAUUAAAAAGAUAAAGGAAUAAAAAGAGAAAAAGAGAAAACAAACCUUGAACCACUCCACUCUGUAAGUCUCUCUCUUGUAUUCCUCUUGUUCACCCGCAUAAAAAACAUAGUCAUUGGCGUUGACAACUGUAGGCCACCAUUCAGACAAUUUUCUUUCAAAUCGAACAUUAUUCUUCGUGGAGCGCUUCACAGAGUCUCGAACCGGGAGUGAUAACAGAUUCGAAUUUCUCCUUUGGCCCCAUGCAACAACCACUUUUUUUCUCUGCAAAUUCUCAUCCAAGUCCUGAAAGUCUGGUCCCUUGUAGGCAAUUUGAUCCGCGGUAAGAUCAGGAUUCUUAACAGACAAACUGUCAAUUGACCCACCACCGCAAGGGCCUUCACAAAAGAAGUCGACAUGCAAAGAAUUGAGUUGAACGCCAUAGCCAAACACGAAAGAGGCCUAUUGUUAGAUGAUGGAAUCCUGUCUCAUGUAGUCCUCUUUUUACAUUUUAUUGUAUCUGUAGUGUAGCUUGUAAGGAGCAUGGGUUACUAUAAAUACCCAGCUCCUCACUUGUACUAUUCACUUUUGAGAUUAAUGAGAAUUAGAUUUCUGAAACCCAGAAUUAAUUCUCUCUUGAAAGUCAUAGGCUAGAGAGUCCAAAGACUCCCUCUAGCCACCUUCCAAGCACAUCUCCCUCCAUUUUCAUUUUCUCCAUUAAUUCCUUUGUGCUUUAUCUUUUCUCCACGCAUCAUCUUAUCACCAACCUGUUUCAGACCAGUGGCGCUAUUCAGUUUCAGCCACGCGUCAGCUCCUUUAUUCCACAUCAUUCGCUCUUCUUCUCGCACAUCAGACACGCAUCAUAUUUCUCUUCACAGAACCGUAUUCCUUCGCGUCCUCUUCCUUUCAUUGCUUCUCGAGAUUCCAUUUCUCGUUUCAACUACAUCUUGCUCCUUAAGGUAACCUCGUUCCAAAUCUAAGUUUCAACCAUUUCAUCUCCCGAUCUCUGCUUCCUCUCCAUGUUUUUACGAGUUAUAAGCCUAAAACACUUCUGCCUUAGGUUNCCUUCCGUUUCCACCGAUUGAUUUCCAUUUUCUACCUAUUAAACCACUUUCCACCGAUUAAAUCAUCAUUUCCACC
rnacentral:lncRNA from 1 species